UGGGGAAUAUUGCGCAAUGGGGGAAACCCUGACGCAGCGACGCCGCGUGCGGGAUGAAGGCCUUCGGGUUGUAAACCGCUUUCAGCAGGGACGAAGCGGAAGUGACGGUACCUGCAGAAGAAGCGCCGGCUAACUACGUGCCAGCAGCCGCGGUAACACGUAGGGCGCGAGCGUUGUCCGGAAUUAUUGGGCGUAAAGAGCUCGUAGGCGGCCUGUUGCGUCCGCUGUGAAAGCCCGGGGCUUAACCCCGGGUCGGCAGUGGAUACGGGCAGGCUAGAGGUAGGUAGGGGAGAAUGGAAUUCCCGGUGUAGCGGUGAAAUGCGCAGAUAUCGGGAGGAACACCGGUGGCGAAGGCGGUUCUCUGGGCCUUACCUGACGCUGAGGAGCGAAAGCGUGGGGAGCGAACA
rnacentral:rRNA from 1 species